GCUGAAAGCAUCUAAGCGGGAAGCGAGCCCUGAGAUGAGUCUUCCCUGACCCCUUGAGGGUCCUAAAGGGUUGUUCGAGACUAGAACGUUGAUAGGCAGGGUGUGUAAGCGCUGUGAGGCGUUGAGCUAACCUGUACUAAUUGCCCGUGAGGCUUAACCAUACAACACCCAAAGGGUUUUG
rnacentral:rRNA from 1 species